UUCUCCUUUCUUUUUAUUUUUUUUUUUUUUAUUU
rnacentral:ribozyme from 1 species